GUGGAUAACCUGCCCUUGGGUCCGGCAUAACCCCGGGAAACUGGGGAUAAUUCCGGAUAACGCACAUAUGCUGGAAUGCUUUAUGCGUCAAAUGGAUUCGUCCGCCCAAGGAUGGGUCUGCGGCCUAUCAGGUAGUAGUGGGUGUAAUGUACCUACUAGCCUACGACGGGUACGGGUUGUGAGAGCAAGAGCCCGGAGAUGGAUUCUGAGACAUGAAUCCAGGCCCUACGGGGCGCAGCAGGCGCGAAAACUUUACAAUGCGGGAAACCGUGAUAAGGGGACACCGAGUGCCAGCAUCAUAUGCUGGCUGUCCGGGUGUGUAAAAUACACCUGUUAGCAAGGGCCGGGCAAGACCGGUGCCAGCCGCCGCGGUAACACCGGCGGCCCGAGUGGUGAUCGUGAUUAUUGGGUCUAAAGGGUCCGUAGCCGGUUUGGUCAGUCCUCCGGGAAAUCUGACGGCUUAACCGUUAGGCUUUCGGGGGAUACUGCCAGACUUGGAACCGGGAGAGGUAAGAGGUACUACAGGGGUAGGAGUGAAAUCUUGUAAUCCCUGUGGGACCACCUGUGGCGAAGGCGUCUUACCAGAACGGGUUCGACGGUGAGGGACGAAAGCUGGGGGCACGAACCGGAUUAGAUA
rnacentral:rRNA from 1 species